GACGAACGCUGGCGGCGUGCUUAACACAUGCAAGUCGAACGGUGAAGCGCCUUCCUCUUUGGUGGGUGUGGAUGAGUGGCGAACGGGUGAGUAACACGUGAGUAACCUGCCCCCUUCUUCUGGAUAACCGCAUGAAAGUGUGGCUAAUACGGGAUAUUCUGGGUCUGUCGCAUGAUGGGUCUGGGAAAGAUAUUGUUUCGGUGGGGGAUGGGCUCGCGGCCUAUCAGCUUGUUGGUGGGGUGAUGGCCUACCAAGGCGGUGACGGGUAGCCGGCCUGAGAGGGUGGACGGUCACACUGGGACUGAGACACGGCCCAGACUCCUACGGGAGGCAGCAGUGGGGAAUAUUGCACAAUGGGCGCAAGCCUGAUGCAGCGACGCCGCGUGAGGGAUGGAGGCCUUCGGGUUGUGAACCUCUUUCGCCAGUGAAGCAGGCCUGCCUCGUUUGUGGGUGGGUUGACGGUAGCUGGAGAAGAAGCGCCGGCUAACUACGUG
rnacentral:rRNA from 1 species